GUUAACUUAAAAUUGCAACGCAACAGUUGGGGAAUGUAGUGAGGGAAGCAAUAUUUUUUGCUUUAACUGAUGUUUUAACCAAUAUUUUAAAGUGCAUCUUGUUUUUAUUUCAAGUUCGCGGUCUGGAUUAAGUCUUUUGGAUCGUCAGAGGUGCGUUUGAUUGUGGCAACUAACAAUUACCUUCACAACGAGGAAAAACCAAGAAGAUUCUGUUCUCCAUGCCAGAAGAUGGAUGCUUACAAUGGAGGGCAGAGUCAUCAUUGAGUCACAAGACCUAACUGAUUUUCAGUCCGCAUUAGCUGUCUUGUUUGGCUGCUACUACGCUUUCAAUGUUUAGUACCAAGAAGAGGCAGCUGCGACUCUGGAGUUCCUGCAGAGAUUCAUUCUCCCCGAAUAAACCCUGAUGGGACAAAAUGCCAGUCAAAGACACUGAUCAGCCGUACCUCUGGGAAGAAGGUGCAAUGAAAAAGUUCUGGCCAGAAUCCUCAUGGUGUGACUUUAAUAAAAGAGCUUGUUGACUUUGAUUGGCAGAAUUAAAAAAAAAUGACCAACGACCGAGUUAAGUAUUGUUAAUGUGUAAUGUGGAAAGUGUUAGUUUGAAUGGCUUGUUCUGCUUUUUAAAAUGUAGCCAAAAUGUAAUUUGUUCUUCAAGUAAAUUGUUGCCCUUUAUAGGGAUAGUUCACCAAAAAAUGAAGAUUCUGUCAACAUUUACUCACUCUGAUGAACAUUAAGGAAGAUAUUUUGAGGAAUGUUUGUAACCAAGGCAUUCGUGAGACACAUUUACAUAGUAUUCUUUAAUCCUACUAUGAAAGGUUGAUGAUUGGUUUGGUCACAAACAUUCCUCAAAAUAUCUUCACAAAGAACAAAGAAAUUGAUUUAGGUUUGAAACAACAUGAGAAGUAAAUGAACAGAAUUUUCAUUUUUGGGUGAACUAUCCCUUUAAGUAAA